rnacentral:misc_RNA from 1 species
CUCAUGCUGCAGAAUCAUUGAUGGCU